ensembl:snRNA U4 U4 spliceosomal RNA
AGCUUUGUGCAGUGGCAGAAUCAUAGCCAAUGAGGUUUAUCUGAGGUGCGAUCAUUGCUAAAAAAUCACCAUUUAACCUUUCA